rnacentral:tRNA from 1 species
GGGCCCGUGGCCUAGCCCGGAUAAGGCGGCAAGUGAAAAAACACCCGCAGGCCUUCUAUCCCGGGAGGAAAGCUGCAUAUCGUGGGUUCAAAUCCCACCGGGCCCG